rnacentral:rRNA from 1 species
UACGGAGGGGGCUAGCGUUGUUCGGAAUUACUGGGCGUAGAGCGCACGUAGGCGGCUUUGUAAGUUAGAGGUGAAAGCCCAGGGCUCAACCCUGGAAUUGCCUUUAAGACUGCAUCGCUUGAACAUCGGAGAGGUAAGUGGAAUUCCGAGUGUAGAGGUGAAAUUCGUAGAUAUUCGGAAGAACACCAGUGGCGAAGGCGACUUACUGGACGAUUGUUGACGCUGAGGUGCGAAAGCGUGGGGAGCAAACAGG